rnacentral:rRNA from 1 species
UAAGAUUUUGUUUUUUUAUAAUUUGGUAUUGCAUAUCAUUUAAGGAAAAUUUCAUAGUAAUGAGUUAUAAAAUUAGAGGGUAGAAAAAUUUUAUUAUUUUUAUUGUUUCAUAAUAAGAAUUAUAAUUUUUAGUGUUGAAAAGUCGACCUUUAAGAUAUUUGUGUUUUUUUAAGAAUUAGAAAAUUAUUUUGUUUGAUUAUUUUAUUAUAAAAUGUAAGAGUUGAAGUAUCUUUUUUUUUAGUUUUAUAACAGUUUAUACGAGAUUUGUAAGUUUAUAUUAUUAGGUAUAUAAUAAUAUAUUAUUAUAUAAAUUAUUUUGAAAUUAGUAGUAAGUUUAAAUUGAAUAUUUGUGUUUGAAUAUAAUUAAAAAACUCAAAAAUUAAUCAAAUGUUUUUUAAAGACUUAGACUUUUAUAUAAAGUUUGCUUCUGCCCUGUGAUGUAAAUUAAAUGGCAGUCUUAGCGUGAGGACAUUAAGGUAGCAAAAUAAUUUGUGCUUUUAUUGGGUUCCAGUAUGAAUGAAGUUAUUGGUUAAUUUAUUUUUUGAUUUUUAAGUGAAUUUUUAAUUAAUAAUAAAAAAAUAUUGUUAUAAUAAUACAAAGAUAAGUCUUCGGAAAUUCUUUUUUAAGAAUAAUAAUAAUUAUUCUUAAAAAUUUUCUAGGGCAGAAUUUUAUAUAAUUAUGUUAUCUAUUAAUAAUUUAAUGAAUUACUCCGGAGUUAACAGAAAAUCAUAUCUAAUCUAGUUCUUAUAGUAAGAUAAGUUUUACAUCGAUGUUGUAUUUAAGUUUGUUAAAAAAGGAGAAGAUUUAAAUUUUAAGACUGUUCUUCUUUUAAUUAAUUUAACGUGAUAUUAGUUUAAUUCAUUGUGAGAUAGAAUUGUUUAUCUUGUUUAUUAUUUUUUUAAAAUUUUAAUAGUACGAAAGGAAAAUUAAAAAAAGUUUUAAACUUUUUGGUUUUGACCU